GAUGAACGCUGGCGGCGUGCCUAAUACAUGCAAGUCGAGCGAACGGACGAGGAGCUUGCUCCUCUGACGUUAGCGGCGGACGGGUGAGUAACACGUGGAUAACCUACCUAUAAGACUGGGAUAACUUCGGGAAACCGGAGCUAAUACCGGAUAAUAUAUUUAACCGCAUGGUUCAAUAGUGAAAGACGGUUUUGCUGUCACUUAUAGAUGGAUCCGCGCCGCAUUAGCUAGUUGGUAAGGUAACGGCUUACCAAGGCAACGAUGCGUAGCCGACCUGAGAGGGUGAUCGGCCACACUGGAACUGAGACACGGUCCAGACGCCUACGGGAGGCAGCAGUAGGGAAUCUUCCGCAAUGGGCGAAAGCCUGACGGAGCAACGCCGCGUGAGUGAUGAAGGUCUUCGGAUCGUAAAACUCUGUUAUUAGGGAAGAACAAAUGUGUAAGUAACUAUGCACGUCUUGACGGUACCUAAUCAGAAAGCCACGGCUAACUACGUG
rnacentral:rRNA from 1 species